CAAUAGCGUAUAUUAAAGCUGUUGCGGUUAAAAAGCUCGUAGUUGGAUUUCUGUCAAGGACAACUGGUCCGCCCUCCGGGUGAGCACAUAGUUUGGUCUUGGCAUCUUGCUGGAAACUGUUGCUGCACUUGGUUGUGUGGCGCAGCAUCCAGCACUUUCACUUUGAGGAAAUUGGAGUGUUUCAAGCAGGCACAUGCCUUUGGACACAGUAGCAUGGAAUAAUUAGAUUGGGCUUUUGCUCCAAUUUGUCGGUCUCUGGAGCUGAGGUGAGAAUUAAUGGGGAUUGUUGGGGGCAUCCGAAUUUAGCCGUCAGAGGUGAAAUUCUUGGAUCUGCUAAAGACGGACAACUGCGAAAGCGUCUGCCCAGGAUGUUUUCAUUG
rnacentral:rRNA from 1 species